GAUGAACGCUGGCGGCGUGCCUAAUACAUGCAAGUCGAGCGAACAGACGAGGAGCUUGCUCCUUCGACGUUAGCGGCGGACGGGUGAGUAACACGUAGGUAACCUACCUAUAAGACUGGGAUAACUUCGGGAAACCGGAGCUAAUACCGGAUAAUAUUUCGAACCGCAUGGUUCGAUAGUGAAAGAUGGCUUUGCUACCACUUAUAGAUGGACCUGCGCCGUAUUAGCUAGUUGGUAAGGUAACGGCUUACCAAGGCAACGAUACGUAGCCGACCUGAGAGGGUGAUCGGCCACACUGGAACGGAGACACGGUCCAGACUCCUACGGGAGGCAGCAGUAGGGAAUCUUCCGCAAUGGGCGAAAGCCUGACGGAGCAACGCCGAGUGAGUGAUGAAGGUCUUCGGAUCGUAAAACUCUGUUAUUAGGGAAGAACAAACGUGUAAGUAACUGUGCACGUCUUGACGGUACCUAAUCAGAAAGCCACGGCUAACUACGUG
rnacentral:rRNA from 1 species